rnacentral:rRNA from 1 species
GACGGAGGGUGCAAGCGUUGUUCGGAAUUACUGGGCGUAAAGGGCGCGUAGGCGGUCUGUUAAGUUCGGUGUGAAAGCCCCCGGCUCACCUGGGGAACUGCGCCGGAAACCGACAGACUCGAGUACCGGAGAGGAGGGUGGAAUUCCUGGUGUAGCGGUGAAAUGCGUAGAGAUCAGGAAGAACACCGGUGGCGAAAGCGCUCUGCUAGGCCGCAACUGACACUGAGGGACGAAAGCUAGGGGAGCGAAUGGG